rnacentral:lncRNA from 1 species
GUGGAAUUUCCUGGGUCAGGAUAGAACCCAAGCCACAGUGGUGCCAACACCAAAUCCAUAUGCCUUGAACCAUUAGGGAAGUCCUUCUUUUUCUUUUCUAAAAGGUUCUGCUAAAGACACAAAUAGGCCUGCUAUGAAAGAUGACAGUGACACCUGGAUCACAAACUCACAUAUUCACAGGGCCAAGAAUGGCAACGAAAAGUGAAACAGGUUGAUUUGUAAGGAAAAAUAAUGAAGAGUAGAAACUGGAAAGUUGGGGGAUAUUUGAAGGAUCAAAAGAGAGCUGCUAUUUAAUUCCAGCUAUUUAAUUCCAGUGGAGUGUACUCUUGGGAGGCUGCUGUCCUAUGGCUGAUAGAUGUUUUUGAUUUUUUUCCCAAGGCAAGUUAGAGAUCAUAAUUUUAUAAGAAACACCUGAAUUUGUAAAUGCUGGCAUUUAAUUGAAUUGUUUAAAAAACUGUACAGUCACAAAAGAAUCAUCUAUACCCCAAACCUAGCAAUUAGCUGUUGGUAUGAAACUUCUAAUAAUCUGGAAUUGAGGAGGGAGGAGAGGCUUUCAUGAAAUGGUACACAAGACAAGCUUUGAUGAGGGUAGGUGAAAGAAAGAAAUUUGGAUAAUUUAAUUUUGUUCAAGGAGAGCAGAUACAAGGACUUGAUCUUUAUAUCAAAUAAUUAUUUGAUUUUUCUCAAGUAAUAAAAAUUAUACAUCCUCAAUACAUACAUAGGCUAGCCACUGUUCUAAAAUUAUUACAGAUUUAAUAUUUAAAACUACCUUGAGAAAUGGAUGCUAUUUUUAUCUAUUUUUACUGAUGAAGGAACUGAGAACCAGAUAAACUAUGGAUGUGCUCAGGACCCCAUUUCUAGAAAAGGAUGGAGAAGGACCUCAGGGUAGUGUGCCAAGAUGCAGAAAAGCACUACAGGAAGGAAGGUGUGACACUGAUGAGGCACAGUGUAGUUUUGCCUAGUAUCUGACUGACUUACUACACAGCAUUCACUGAUGAUUACCAGUCUCAGAAGGACACUUCUAGGAAUUUUAAAACAUCAUAUAAUUGGCCUGUCCUAGCUUUAAUAGUAAAUAGGCCAGCUUGUCUGUUCUUUUGGUCUGAAAAUUCUUAUAUAUAUUGUCAUCUUUCUUCCCUCAUCUUCAUGCUAUCCAUACCAGCCCAUCUGUUUCAUCACCUGCGCCCCCACCCCCAGCAUAUGAGGGUGUUACUCCAUCCCCAGGGAGUGCAGCCACCAACAUGGAAGCAAAGAAUGCAAUGACAUAAUGAUGACUGUUUCUUAAAAAAUCAAAUUUACACAGAAAAUGCAAUGCCAGCAAGAACUCUUGUCAGGUCACAGCUGUUUCAUAGUGAGUCAUCCAUCACUUUGAAGACUAUCCCACAUGGACCUAAGCAAUGAAAUCCCACGCACCAGGGAAAAAAUAAAGCUAUGCUAACUCAAGAAUGCCUCCCAUCAAAUAGUUGCAUGAAACUUUUACACUGGUUAGGUGAAGAGCACGCAGCAUUUCUCUAUCGACACACUAUUAGUUUUUAUUAUAUUUUAAUUAGAGUAUAAUUGAUUUACAGUGUUGUGUCAAUUUCUGCUGUACAGCAUAGUAGCAUGUAACAUAUAUACAUUCUUUUUCUCACACUAUCUUCCAUCAUGUUCUAUCCCAAGAGAUUGGAUAUAGUUCCCUGUGCUGUACAGUAGGACCAUUAAGCUUUGGAAAAUAACAUACUUUCCUUUGCCAAACAAGAAAAAAGAUUCAAUAAAUUAAAUUGCUUUUAAUAGGACCCACCAACAGACCCUUAAUAGGUCCAGUAGGAGAAAUGGACAGCUGUCAAAUAGUAAAUUUCAAAUUUUGUCCAAAACUUAUGACAUUCUCAGAAUGUUAUCAACCAACUGCCUAUCAUAGAACUUGAAAUUUCUAUUCUAUUACGAUAAGGCAUCAUGCCCAUGAAAUAGUAAUAAAUUUUCAUGGCAUAUAUUAAUACAGAUUGACUUAUUCUCUUGUAAAAAGGAAAUCUUUGGUUGGGGCCCUAAAUGGAGACCUUGUGUAGCCCAAGGCAUUGGACAUCCUGUAAAAGGAAAAAGGAUAUCACCACAAGAAAAAGAAGAUGCCAAAUAAAACUUCUCCAUUCUGAUACAUUUGCCCAGGGCUAGUCAUACUGCUCUGCUACUUUCUUGGAAAAUAAAAUGAGAAAAGCAAAGAAAGAGAAAAGAAAUAGAAAAGAAAAUGAUCAAACCAAAUCAAGCUAAACCAAACUCAAAAUAUGAAGGGACAUUAUAUAUUUUAACUCUUGACCUAGAACGCACAUGCUACCAAUUUGUCUUGCAAAAUAUCUGUGUUGAUAUGCCUUGUCCCUAACUUUGAAACUAAGAAAUUUACUGGAAAGCUUUCAUAAGAUGAGUACUUAUUACUCUAUCAGAUCCCUCUGUUUUCUCUAUCAACAAGUAUUGAUUCAAGCUCUUUUUGAAACCAUACCAAAAAGGAGAUCCACUGUCUUCUCUGGCAGCCUUUAUCAACAUAAACGGUUAGAUAAUUCUCUUAAAAAGGUAGUCUAAAUCCCAUGGCUUCUCUGUGUAAAUUCUGAAACCAUGGAAAAAAUGAUCAAAAAGGCUCUUUGCCUCACUAGAUGGAAAGAUGCCUCACAACAGCAGCAAUCUAGGGACAUUCCUAUUUAUUUUACAUUCCUAUUUUACAUAAAACAUUUUAUAACUAAAUAAAAUAUUUUAAUUAUUUUAUUUGUAUGUAUUUUAUUUAAACCAACUUACUAUUAUUUCAGCAGGCAAAUGUAAAUUGAUAAAAAUAUAUCAACUUGAUAGUUCACCUUUUUUCAUACUGUUUUUAAAUUCAUUAUUUAUUUUACAUAGAGCUCAUAUCAACUGUACACUAAGUUUUCAAUGGUUAAAGUGAACUACAGUCCUAUGAAAGAAAUAAAGUUGAAUAAAUUAAUUAUAUUUAAAUAAAAUUGAAAAUCUAGUUCCUUGGUUGCAUGAGAACAUCACAGGUGUUCAAUAGCCGCUUGUUGGCUACUAUGAUGGGGCAGAACAGACCUAAAGGACUGUCAAAUUGAAGUACUCAGCAUGAAGUAAUCACAUUAGCAUUUUUCAGUAGACUUACAAAGAAAAACACUGAAGAAAGAACCCUCAAAAAAUCAGAACAAUAACCAAAAUGAAACAUUUCUGUGGGAGAAAAAUAUCUGUCUGUACAAAGAUCCUUCUGUAUGAACAAGCUUACAUAUAGAAGUGGAGACUACAGCAGUUUCUGAUUUAGACAAUACACAAAUGUGAAUUCCUCCAUGUAUGGUCUGGAGAGUCAACACUGGCAAUAGAAAAUAAAACUAGACCUACAUGUUCUCUCUCUGAAAAUUUGGGUUAAAAUCAAAGGAAUUUUAUUUGUAAAUGAAAAUGAAAAACAUCAAUAUAUUUUAGUAAAAUGGAUGGAAAAAACAGUAUCAUUUAUAAUGCCUAAAUAUUUAGACUAAUCAUGUAAUAAUUAAUUUGAUUUUCAAAAAUGGAAGAUAGUCAUGUGUAUAGACAACUGACUCAGUCACUUAAUAAUAUUGAUUCUUCCACCACAUGGAGAAAUAAAUAUAAAAACUUGUGUUCAGCUAAUGGGCUUGAAGGUAUUUCUUGGAGCCUACCAUACAUAUAGAAUCCAGUUUGUCCCUUAGUAUAGAACUACAUAUAAGAAAUCAUGGUUUGAAUGGAGAAAAAGAUAAAUAUUAUGACAAAUAUUUUCCCAGAGCACAUCAAUUUAAACUUUUUGGUAAUGUAUCCUGUACUGCUUUAACGUAGACAUUCCUUUCCUUUACACUCAAAUCUCCAAUAUCUGUUUACCCAUCCACACUCUCAGCUAGAUAGCAUUGCUUCUAAACUUCACAGAAUAAUUUGAAACAAUAUUUAAAAAUCUCAGUAGCUCUUAUCACUGUAUCUACUCACUGACUUGCACAUGUCAACAGCCUAUGUUCCUAGUUAAGGUAGACCUUUUCGUUUAUACAUUAGAUUCCAUCUUUCUUCACCUACACUCUAGCAAUUUCUCAUUUUUUGUUAUUAAUUUUCCUCUGAAUAGUAAUAAAGUUUCAUUAGCCUAUAUAUAAUACUCUCUCCCAUUUUAAAAGAAAGGUCCUCUCAACACAAAUUCCCUUCUUAGGAGUUCCCGCCAUGGCUCAGUGGUUAACAAAUCCAACUAGGAACCAUAGAGUUGCGGGUUCAAUCCCUGACCUUGCUCAGUGGGUUAAGGAUCUGGCAUUGCCAUGAGCUGUGGUGUAGGUCUCAGACCCGGCUGGGAUCCCGCAUUGCUGUGGCUGUGUCGUAGAUGGGCGGCUACAGCUCCAAUUAGACCCCUAGCCUGGGAAUCUCCAUAUGCUGCAGGUGUGGCCCUAGAAAAGACAAAAAAAAAAAAAAAAAAGAAAAAAUCCCUUCUAGCUAUUUUCCCUUACCUCACUGCUCCCCCCUACCCCGCAAAAAAGUUCUCUAACCCCACUAUCUGCAAAUCCUCUGUUCCUAUUCUCUCCUCUCUUGAGCCCACCUGAAUGAUUUUCACUCCUAUCGCUUC